rnacentral:rRNA from 1 species
GACGUAGGGUGCGAGCGUUGUCCGGAUUUAUUGGGCGUAAAGAGCUCGUAGGCGGCUCGUCGCGUCGACCGUGAAAACCCGCGGCUUAACUGCGGGCUUGCGGUUGAUACGGGCGGGCUAGAGUUCGGUAUGGGAGACUGGAAUUCCUGGUGUAGCGGUGAAAUGCGCAGAUAUCAGGAGGAACACCGGUGGCGAAGGCAGUCUACUAGGCCCUAACCGACGCUCAGGCACGAAAGCGUGGGGAUCAAACAGG